AAUGAUUUAUCAUAAUUCAAAGAAUUAUUAUUGCUAGUUAGAUCGGGUUGUUAUAAUUUUAGCAUCAUAUAUAAUAUUUUUAGGUAAUUUUUGUUUGUUAUAUAAUAUUAUUUUCAAAAUAUUAUUGUAUUAUUAUUUUUUCAUCAAUCUUUGUAUUUAUUUUUUAUUUUUCUAUCCUGUACUAUAUUUUUUCUCAUCAAUAUUACUAAGAUGUUUUUUUCUCGCCUGUUUCUAUAUUAUUGUUAAUAAUAAAUCUAUUAUUUUAGACAAAAUAUAAUAUUUUAUU
rnacentral:lncRNA from 1 species